rnacentral:rRNA from 1 species
AGCGAACGCUGGCGGCAGGCCUAACACAUGCAAGUCGAACGGACCCUUCGGGGUUAGUGGCGGACGGGUGAGUAACACGUGGGAACGUGCCCUUUGGUUCGGAAUAGCUCCUGGAAACGGGUGGUAAUGCCGAAUGUGCCCUUCGGGGGAAAGAUUUAUCGCCAUUGGAGCGGCCCGCGUCUGAUUAGCUAGUUGGUGAGGUAAAGGCUCACCAAGGCGACGAUCAGUAGCUGGUCUGAGAGGAUGAUCAGCCACAUUGGGACUGAGACACGGCCCAAACUCCUACGGGAGGCAGCAGUGGGGAAUCUUGCGCAAUGGGCGAAAGCCUGACGCAGCCAUGCCGCGUGAAUGAUGAAGGUCUUAGGAUUGUAAAAUUCUUUCACCGGGGACGAUAAUGACGGUACCCGGAGAAGAAGCCCCGGCUAACUUCGUGCCAGCAGCCGCGGUAA